rnacentral:rRNA from 1 species
AAUGAACGUUGGCGGCGUGCCUAACACAUGCAAGUCGAGCGUGAAAGUCCUUCGGGAUGAGUAAAGCGGCGGACGGGUGAGUAACGCGUGAGAAUUUCCCUUUUAGUGAAGAAUACCUUUGAGAAAUCAAAGUUAAUACUGCAUACGUCUCGAAAGAGAGAAAGAUGGCCUAAUUGCUGUCGCUAAAAGAUAAGCUUGCGUUCUAUUAGCUAGUUGGUGAGGUAAUGGCUCACCAAGGCGAUGAUGGAUAGCCGGCCUGAGAGGGCGAACGGCCACAUUGGAACUUAGACACGGUCCAAACUCCUACGGGAGGCAGCAGUGGGGAAUAUUGGACAAUGGGCGCAAGCCUGAUCCAGCAAUGCCGCGUGUGUGAAGAAGGCCUUCGGGUUGUAAAGCACUUUAGCCUGGAAAGAAAAAACUUUGGUUAACACCCAAAGUCUUGACGGUACCAGGAGAAUAAGCACCGGCUAACUCUGUGCCAGCCGCCGCCGUAA